GUCUACGGCCAUGCCACCCUGAACAAGCCUGAUGUCUGAUCUUGGAAGCUAAGUAGGGUUGAGCCUGGUUAGUACAUGGAUGAGAGACCACCUAGGAAGACCAGGUGCUAUAGGCG
rnacentral:rRNA from 1 species